AGAGUUUGAUCCUGGCUCAGGAUGAACGCUGUCGGCGUGCCUAAUACAUGCAAGUCGAACGCGCAGCGAGAGGUGCUUGCACCUUUCAAGCGAGUGGCGAACGGGUGAGUAACACGUGGAUAACUUGCCUCAAGGCUGGGGAUAACAUUUGGAAACAGAUGCUAAUACCGAAUAAAACUUAGUAUCGCAUGAUAUAAAGUUAAAAGGCGCUACGGCGUCACCUACAGAUGGAUCCGCGUGUGCAUUAGUUAGUUGGUGGGGUAAAGGCUUACCUAGACAAUGAUGCAUAGCCU
rnacentral:rRNA from 1 species